AUUGAACGCUGGCGGCAGGCCUAACACAUGCAAGUCGAGCGAGCGGCGGACGGGUGAGUAAUGUCUGGGAAACUGCCUGAGGGAGGGGGAUAACUACUGGAAACGGUAGCUAAUAACGCAUACCAUCGGAUGUGCCCAGAUGGUAUUAGCUGGUGGGUGAGGGAACGGCUCACCUAGGCGACGAUCCGUAGCUGGUCUGAGAGGAUGACCAGCAACACUGGAACUGAGACACGGUCCAGACUCCUACGGGAAGCAGCAGUGGGGAAGAUUGCACAAUGGGCGCAAGCCUGAUGCAGCCAUGCCGCGUGUAUGAUGAAGGCCGUCGGGUUGUAAAGUACUUUCAGCGGGGAGGCGUUACCCGCAGAAGAAGCACCGGCUAACUCCGUGCCAGCGGCCGCGGUAAUUC
rnacentral:rRNA from 1 species